AAGAGAAGAGAAGUGGGCAAUUACAGAUCUGCUGCCUGCAGCUGGCUUGGAGCCAGCCCAUCCACUGGACAGGCACUUGCUGCUCAGCCAACAUCAGCUGUGAGACCUGGGCUCAGACCUAAGCCACCAGGAAUGAGGACUGCAUUCCUGAGAAAUGCUGGAGAGGAGACAACCAGGGAAAGACUCCACGGCAUGGCAUCCCCACGGCACAGCGGGCUGCAGCCUCCAGACAUCCCUGCAAAUCCAGCCUCAGCUCAUCCACGCUGCAUGCACAGCUAAAGUGACUUUGGAAAGCUCCAAAGGUCAUCAAAACCUUGGCAAGGCUCUUCAGCUGCCAGCAAAGUCACUCUUGCUACCUGCCUACAACCUGAACAGAUAAACUCAUGCAAAGCCUGCAGAGAUGUGUUCUCCAGCCAAAUAUGUCUGAAAGGGGAAUAACCCAAGCGACAGAUGCUGGAGAAUGAACAUGACCUGCACAUGAGCUGCACCCUGCAGCACUAGGGAAGGGUUAGGGACUCUGCCCUCCAGUGUGGAAGCCAGGCUGACCUGUAAUGAGACCAUCCUGCAGCUGCUGGUUGUGGGCAGGAUGAGUAUUUGUGAAGAACAGCAAGACAAUGACCAGGCUGCUCUGUCAGGCUGAAAACCAGACUGUGUCUAGGGUGCAUCUGACUUAUAAGGUUCAAGGAGGGGUGAGGAAAGCUGACAGACUGACCAUGCAGGAAGCCAGCAGGACAUCUGGCUUUUUCUGCCCCCAAGACACUGAGCAAGCUCCUGGUCCCUCCAGUUUGUGGCAAGGGCAGCUCCUUUUUAUUUAAUGCAGUGCUCUAGCUUUGCCUGCAGCUUCAAUAGAAAAGGCCUGUUUGGCAGCCUGGGCUGUGAGGGUCAGGUCACUGCCAGCCAGCCCCUCAGACACAAAGCCCAGCACAAGCCUUGCAGUCUGGAAUGAAGGUGAGGGGCUGGGAAGGGAGAGGAAGGCAGCAAGGGGAAGUUGAUUUUCCUGACCAGAUGUCACUGUGUGAGCUGGGCCAUAUGAUCUCCUGCAGCUCUCAGGAACCUCAUGCAAAGGAAAGCAGCAAAUCGCAGGGAAAGCUACAGACUUGUUUGAGCAAGGGUGUCAGGGACUUUGUUGCUGGGAGUGUUUGCCAAGCAUGUCAAUUAACCCUGUGACAAGCUCAGGAAUGAGUUCUGUGCUUCCCGGUUUGUUGUUUUUGCCACGUGUGGUGAGGCUGAUGCAGUACAGACAAUUAAGUGUAUGAAGCACACACCAGCUUUUACUGGAGUGGGUCUGGAAGUCAGCUGCAGUAUCUCCUUACAGCCUCUCCAUCAGCCAGGAAGCAGCACGAGCUGCAUCUAUUUCUAUUCCUUAGAUUACAAGUGCAGACAACACCAGACUCCUGGAGCUCCUUCCAUUUUCUUACACGGCUAUUACGAGAAGGAGCUGCAUGAAAGGAUAUUGCACCAUCUUGGCUCCUAAAUCCAGCAGAGUGCAGGAUUACAUUCACUGACAUGGAUUCUGAGCUGCUUCCCCCCGAGGAGGAGGAGGGAGAUUUCCCUUUCCAUGGGAUGGCGCAAUGCUGACAGCUGUAAACCAGCUCUGAAGACAGAUGCCAGUGCUUGCAUGGAUGAGUUUGACAUCUGAUCCUUCAUGUCCUGUUCAUUCAACAAAAGAAGGAGCAUGUGAGCAUUGGAUUUGAGAUGACAGGCAAAUUCAGGGCUGUUUAUACCCCGCAAAGCUUCUACAAGGGGGAAAGAGGGAAGGGAGAUUUUCUUUGAAAACCCACACUUUUGAAGAGUCUGGAAACAUACUGUAGAAAUUUCAUUGUUAUACUAAUACUGGAAUCAACAGCAUUGGGGUAUUUUGAAAAUAUUCCUCAUUUACUACUCAUUUUUCUCCACUAUAACCAGAACCACAUUGAUUUGUACAAUAAAAGAAUGUUCCUGUUG